rnacentral:misc_RNA from 1 species
GAUGAAGAACGUAGCGAAAUGCGAUAAGUAAUGUGAAUUGCAGAAUUCAGUGAAUCAUCGAAUCUUUGAACGCACAUUGCGCCCCCUGGUAUUCCGGGGGGCAUGCCUGUUCGAGCGUCAUUUCACCACUCAAGCCUCGCUUGGUAUUGGGCAACGCGGUCCGCCGCGUGCCUCAAAUCGACCGGCUGGGUCUUCUGUCCCCUAAGCGUUGUGGAAACUUUCGCUAAAGGGUGUUCGGGAGGCUACGCCGUAAACCAACCCCAUUUCUAAGGUUGACCUCGGAUCAGGUAGGGAUACCCGCUGAACUUAAGCAUAUCAAUAAGCGGAGGA